rnacentral:lncRNA from 1 species
AGUAUUUUUCCAUGCUCUCUUCUCCCAAAUCAGACGAGGGGUUUAAAUUGUGAUACACAGGUUGCUCCGUCACAACGUGACAACCAUCACCGACCAGCGAUUCCAGCCGCGGUUCGUCCGUCUUCUACUUCCGCUUCACGAAGAACAAGUAAAUUCUCGUUUUAUGAUUUACGCGCUAAUCUAAUUAGUUUAUCGCGUUACUCUUCAUUGGUAUCAGAGCCAUAUAAUAGUUUUCUGGUCUGAAAAAUAUAUUAGAAUAGUUCUAUUACUCUAUGUAAAUAUAGAACUAUGUGUAUAUUUUUUUUUUGAAUGAAUAAUCUGCCAUGCAAUUGGGAAUGAUAAAACAGUUUGCUAUAUACCGUGGUAUCUAGAAUUAUGUGUUUAUUCAUAUCAAAUUUUCUAUGCAAUUGGAACUAGUUAAUCAGUUUAACUUUUGAAUGAUUUUUUUAAUUUAAUCUGAAAUCGAUUUUCAGAAUCUGAUUAAAAGAAAUCAGUGUCCAUUAAGUUUUAUGAAUUUCUGUAUGUAAUUGAAAUUGUAUAUCAAUAUUCAAUACUGACUUGAAAUAAUCUGGGAUUUUAUUGAAGAACCUUUUAUUUCUGAAACUGAUCAGAAAUACCACAAAAAAAAAAGGAAUCAAUUUUUUUUUAAUAAUUUUCUCGAUCAUCAAACCCGCUUCCCACGCCGCCUGAGAUCCACCGGCUCAGCUGGUGGAGGUCGUCUAAGAAACGACCAGUAAACUCCCUUAUUUUAAGCCAUAGAGAGGAAGAGCUUUAGAGAGCCAUGGCUUCUUUUUUCUCUCUUCUCUGAAAUUUAUAUAUAUGUAUAUAAUUUUAAAAAAAAUGGGGGCGAAGCUUGGUGCUCCAAUGGGGCAGUGGCAAAAAGAAAAGAGGAAAGAGAGAGAUUAGGGUUUUUCUCCAACCUCUGAAAUUUGAAAGAUUGAAAAAUGAAAAAGAAAAAAAAGGGAAGAAAAUAUGGAGGGUUGCUGGCGGAUGUCCCCUAAAGAAGAAGAAAAAGAGAGAUUAGGUUUCUCUUUUUUAAAAUGCAAAGAUGCCUCGUAUUUAAAAAAAAAAUAUUUUUUUGUUGGAAAUUAGGUUUUAGAAGCUGAUGGGCUUCUUUCUCUAUAGUGUGGCAUAUUUUAAGAAAAUUGGGCUAAAGGCCCACUCAAAAUUGGCUUGUAAUGUUUUUUAUUGCACUUUUAAGAAAUUGGGCUUUACUUUAAAAAUUUGCAGCACUCAAUUGUCUUGUUGUUCUAUUUGGACUUAUGGCCUAUUUUAAAUACUUUAGACAAUAAUUGUUUUGGGCUCACAACCUAAAUUAAAAAUUACAUAAGCUUCUUUUUUGAUUAAUUCCAAAUUUCAAAAAUUAGUCUUAUUGACUUAAUUUUCGGAAUAUAAAUUUAGUAUUUAUAUUCUUUAUGAAAAAUAUAAUUAUAUUAUUAUCCCAAUUGCUUGAAAUGUUAAUUAGUUUAACAUUAAAUUUAUUUAUUAAUUUUUUUAACUGCUUGAAAUAUUAAUUUGUUAAAGAAUGAGUACUGCUUCGAAAAAUAUUGUUGUUGAGCUCAACAAAGGGUUGAAGCUCAAUGGUGACAACUAUGAAACCUGAAGCUUGAAAGUCUAGUAUGUGCUAGAGGAGCAAGAGGCUCUACAGGUCAUUAACAAUGUCAUGAAUGAGCCUGAGGAAGGUAACACUGUUCAGCAUAGGCGUGAGCGUGAAGCCUAUAACAGUUGGAAGAAAACGAACUCCAUUGCUCACAUUACGUUGUUGAGCAACUUGGAUGAUGUCAUCCUAAGGGAGUAUAAGGAUCACCAAAGAGCUAUGGAUCUUUGAAAUGCUUUGAGGAAAAGGUUUGGUACUUGUUCCACUGCAAGGCUGCGAUCCUUAACGAUCAAACUUGAUUCAUAUAAGAAACGACCAGAACAUUCAAUGAAAACACAACUGAGGCAAAUGACAAAUAUGAUCGGGGAGUUGAAAGAUGUUGGUCAUCUGUUGACUGAUGAAUAACAAAUCCAAGCUGUCAUACGUUCUUUACCUAGUUUUUGGAAUCAUAUAAAAAUGUAUUUGACCCAUAAUGAGCGAAUCACAACUCUAAAAGAUGUCCGGAGGCAUCUUGAGUUAGAGGAAGAAUAACUUGAGGUUGCAAAGCCAAUAGCUGAAUUGCACAUGACAACAACCUCCAAAACUAAGAGUGAUUCAAAGAAAGGAAUUGGGGAAAGAAGAGAGGGCCACCUCACACUACAAAAAAAAUAGUGUUUAGCGACGGCCGUAUUCCGUCGCUAAACGACUAUUUUCCGUCACUACAGUUGUUUAGCGACGGAUUAGCGACGAAUUCAAGUUUAUCUCUAAAAUGCUCGUAGCUAGGCUCAUAGCGACGAAAAAUACCAAACCGUCACAGAAUUAGCAAUGGAUGAGCGGUGGAAUAUAUCUGUAGCAAAGUUUAGCGAUGGAAAUAACCGUCGCUAUAUUACUUGUUUCUGUCGCUAUUUUGACGACUUUUGUCUCUAUAAUAGAUAACAAAAUUCGUCGUUUCUUCUUAGUAGCGAUGAAAUCGUCCAUCGCUAGUCGUGUUAUAGCUAGUUCUCCCUGCUUUUUGCAACAAAAAUCUUUUGUCGCCAAUUCGUCGCAAGAUUUAAUUUUACACGAUAAUUUUAGCUACGGAAAGUAUCCGUCGCUAAUUUAUUUUUAACAUAUUGCUAAUUUUUUAAAAUUCUUUUUAUUUAUUAUUUUAAAUGUACUCUGUUCAAGCAUAUUACGUAAAAGCUAUUAAAUACACUUAAUAAAAAGUCACUGAUAUUAAUAUAAAUUAACAAUAUAUUCAACAAGGUCCAAAAUAUAUAGCAUAAUGCAUAUAACGGUAUCGUUAAGUACAAAAAAUUCACAAGGACCAACAAUAAAGUCCAAACAAAAUAGGCUAACUAUGCGAGGCUGGAGAGUUACGGUCAUCAUCUCAAUGCAUGAACCUCUUCAAUGUUAGCAACAGUAGAAGAUGUAGGAACUGUAGGUGCCACAUCUAAUGGGUGGUUGGUAAGAUCAAUAUUUGGCUUAUGCGAGGGUAAGGAAACUAAUUUGCGUACCCGCUCAAUAAUUACAGGAACUAUAUGAUAUGUCAGUGCAUGAAUCAAUCGCAUCACUAACUCAUCCAGAUUCUCUGUCGGUGUUGAUUGAGCAUUUGGAGGUGUUGCUGUGAUGUAGCAUCAGAUCCAAAAGAGUCAUGAAGAUUUGGCCCGUAGUAGCAUUUUGCUUGAGAUCCAAGACCAUAUACUCUUCUUUUCUUUUCUCCUCCCGCGGAUUGAUAAUAUGCUUUAUACUGAUCACUAUCAGAUUGAGUAUGUGUUUGUUGUUAUAAUAUCUCCUGAUAUUUUUCCUGUAGAAGAGUUAAUAAUUAGUGAAAUAAAAAGACUAAAUAAUAUUGAGCAUUCAAUUUACAAAAUAAAAAAAUAUAUGAAAGUAAAGUCAAUAAAAUUAUUUAAAAAACUAUCUUACAUGUACGAUUCGG